rnacentral:tRNA from 1 species
GGAAAUAUGAAGUUCAAGAAGAAGCUGCUAACUUCUUUCUUUAGUGGUUUAACUCCAUUAAUAUUUCUA